UUUGAGACCAACCCAACCAACAUGAUGAAACCCCAUCUCUACUAAAAAUACAAAACAUUACCCAGGUGUGGUGGUGCAUGCCUAUAAUCCCAGCUACUCCAGAGGCUGAGGCAGGAGAAUUGCUUGAACCCGGGAGGUGGAGGUUAUGGUGAGCUGAGAUUGCACCACUGCACUCCAGCCUGGGCAACAAGAACAAAACUCCAUCUAAAAAAAAAGACUGCUUUGAUAUAGCUAAGAUUUGUAUUACAAUUCCUUUCCCCAUGCUAUCCCCAAAAUAAAAUAAGUAAGAAUGAUUUUAUCUUAUUUAAUAUUCCCAAUACACAAGGUAAUUUCUUGGCAAGAGUAACUAUAAAUCCCAGUGCCAAGGAUAGCAGGUAAUAUUGGUAAACAGUCAGGCUUCAGUACCCAUGGGUUCUGUAUCUACAGGUUCAACCAACCACAGAUUGAAAAUAUUCGGGGGAAAAAAGUUAGUGUGCCUGAACUAAACAUGUAUACUUUUUCUUGUCAUCAUUCAAUAAGCAAUAUAGUAUGCCAACAUUUUACAUAGCAUUUACCUUUCAUUAGGUAAUAUGAGUCAUCUAGAAAGUAUGCAGGAGAAUGUGAUACCUUAUACGGCAAUACUAUGCCAUGUUAUAUAAUGGACUUGAGGCUUCAUGGAUUUUGGUAUCCAAUGAGUUCCUGGAUCAAAUCCCACAUGGAUACAAAGCGAUGACUGUAUUAUAUAAGUAGAAUUUAUAGACAUACCGGAGAAAAAUAGUGGUCAAUUUUCAUAUUAUGUUUUUCAUUGCCCGAGUCUUCCCACGAGCUCUUCUUCUUACAGCUCAUGAUGGCUUGAAGAUGAAUGGAUAGUUCAGCUGAAACACUAAUUUCAAAAUUUCAAGUUAUAGUAGUAUCUUCAAAGCUGUCAUUAAUUGUAUAGAGGAAAAGAUAAGCUGAUGUCCUAUGUCCCACCUUUCCCCUUGAGCUCCAGCCUUGCUCUCCCUGCAGAUGUUACCUUAGCAAAUAGUUUAUUCACCAACUAUAAUCACCCCAACAAUAAAAGCUUUCUUUUCCAUAACACUGCAUAUCAGGCACUUUAUGAAAAUUAUACUAAACAUUUUAUGAAGUUUAUCUCUAGUUGUAAAUUCUUAUAGAGACCAGGCAAAUUAGGUAUAUCUACACUUUACUGAUGGGGAAAGUAUAUCUUAGAGAAGGUGGAUGAGCUGCCCAAGGCCAGAGUUAUGUGGCAGAAAUGGAAUUCAAAUGCAGGUAUAAAUACCUUACAGAAUAAUUUUCAGUUGGAAAUUUCAAAAAGGUGUUCUAGUUCCAUUGAUGUUAAAAUCUCGUCUCCGUUUAAGAUGAAGAUGCCAAGGGAAAAUAAAAUUACAGGGAAGUGGUGAGGAAAGAGCUCAUGAAAGAAAUUUGGAAUGAGAUUUUACAAAGAAAUCUGGAAAGUUUGCCUAGGAUGAUAGUCAGAAACCUUAAUUGCUGCUUAAGCUUUUUUUGUUUAAAGAGGUAUUUUCCUUCUAUCUUUCCUCUGAUGUCUCCCUAAAAAAUAAAAUAGUGACAUCUUCCAUAGUAAUAAAUACCACUAGAAAGAUAAAUACCAUUGACAGCAGCAGCCAUGUCUGUCCUUAGUACCUCAAUGUCUAAAACAAUGUCUGGCACAUGUUACACCCUUGAAAAAGAUACGUUUCUAAAGAUACAUUCAAUAAACAAAUGGAGUAGGCAUAUGGUGUACUAUACCCUGUUCUACGUGCUUUUCAUCAACUACCUUGUAAUUCUUACAACUCUAGGAGAUAGGUAUUGUUCUUUCAUUUAACUGGUAAAAAGCUCGAAUACCCAGGGAGCUUAAACUUUACUCAAUGUCAUAAAACUGAGAGAAUAUACUUUUAAGACUUUUUAUUAUGAAGAAUUUAUUACAGAAAAAAAGAGAACGGUAUAAUGAACCUCCACAUACCUAUCUCAUAGAGUUAAUAAUUGUUCAUUUUUUUGCCAACUUAUAUAACAGUGAAACAGUAAAAGAAUUAACAUAAAUAUAUUUUUGUUCAAGGGCCCUUUAACUAUUUAUGCAUGGAGGCUAGGUUAAUUUUAGAGCAGUGAGAUAACAUGCAAAAACAGCAGUCAUGUAGUUUUAAAAACUAACUCUGGGAUUAAAGGGAAAGUAUGUAAACAACUAUGCAUUGUUAAAAAUUUAUAGGAGUGCUGUGACCUGGGGAAUAAAUAUAAUCUUUAGAUAACUUCCGCUUGAAAAGAAAUACAGGGGCUAGAACAUAACUUAAAUAACAACACAUAGAAGCAGCCCAGGAAAUCGACAUUCCAUAGAGACAAUUUAUCUGUUCUCUUCAACAAAUCAAUGCUUGGGCUCAUUGGAACAUCAGGGGACAAAGACAUUCCCAACCUUCUUUGACCCAUGAUGGUGCUCAGACGUCUGCAGUCAAUGGUCACCUCUUGAUUGUAACUCCCUUCUCUUUCCUGUGCCUUUUACAUAAACAGCCUGAAUCUUGUACUCACUUAAGAGGGUACUUUGGGAUGCUAGUCUGCCAUAUUCUCAGUUUGCUGGCUCGCUCUCUGAAGGAACCUGCUUUUCAUUCCACCAACCGUCAUCUUUCAUGUUUGGCUUUGAGGUGUGAGUUGCUGGAUGUGGGUUUGGCUACCCUUACACCAUCCUUUUAUUUUACUAGAUUAUAUACAUUACAGCUAGAGACAUCAUGACAUUUAAACUCUAGUGGUCACUUCCUAUCUCUAAAAAUUAAGUACUUUUUCUGACAUAAUCACAAUACCGGUUUUUUCACACCAAGAUUCAACUGAGAUACUCAGUUUCCUUUAUAUGUCUUAUAAGGCUCCUUUAUUCUAGAAAAAGCAUUGAUUUGUUGAAGAGAACGAGUAAUUGUCUAUAUAGAAUUUCUGACCUUCUCGGUUACUUCCUCAGGUCGUUGCUGAAUUUAUGUUCUAGCCCGGGUAUUUCUUGUCAAACGGAAGUUAUCUAAAGGCUAUGUUUACUCGUGUAACUGUUCCACUAUGGAGCAAGAGUCCUGGCUUUCUAGUUUACUGUCAAUGAACAAUUAAGGAAAUUCAUUUAGCCUUUCUGGGCCUCAGUUUCUUAUCUGUAAAAAGAAGCAAUGAUUCCAAACAAGAUAAGGAAUGUGGAAGUGCCAAAACAAUGUUGGAACUUUUAAGACUGUCUGAGUUCAAAUAUUAUGUAGCCACUUACUAGCUGCAUGACGUUGGAAUUAACUAUUCUUCCUUCAUUUUCCUCACCGGAAGAUGGGAAUGAACCUUAUUGUGAAUAUUAGAAAUACAACGUGGGCUAGGCAUGAUGGUUUAUGCCCAUAAUCCCAGAACUUUGGGAGGCCAAGGCUGGUGGAUCACUUGAGGUCAGGAGUUUGAGACCAGCUUGGCCAACUUGGCGAAAACCUGUCUCUACUAAGGAUAUAAAAAUUAGUGGAGCAUGGUGGGUGCCUGCAAUCCCAGCUACUUGGGAGGCUGAAGCAGGAGAAUGGCUUGAACCUGGGAGACAGAGGUUGCAGUGAGCUGAGAUCACACCACUGCAAUCCAGCCUGAUCAACAGAGUGAGACUCCGGUUCUCUCUCUCUCCAUACAUAUAUAACAUACCAGUGUUUUAAAUGUAUGUGAUAGGUUGCCCAGUAAAUAAUCUAGCAAAAUAAAGAGGUGAUGUAAAUGUUAUCGAUAUCAAUACACUUACCACAGGGGUACUCUUGAAAUAGCAGCGAACCUAGGAAAACAAAAAUAGAAAGUAUAUAAUUGCAGAACUGGGCUGUGUUGCCAGACCCUUAAAUGCGGAAACUUGUUGCCCAACUAUUAGGAAAAUCUGGGGAUUCACUGUGUUCUGUUAAUGAUGUCUCAUCUUAUGAAGUUUGAGAGGGAUCCAGGUGCUUUAGGAGUGAUUAAUAUACACAGACUAAAAAAAGAACAUCAAGCUCACGCCUGUAAUCCCAGCACUUUGGGAGGCCGAGGCGGGUGGAUCACGAGGUCAAGAGAUCGAGACCAUCCUGGUCAACAUGGUGAAACCCCGUCUCUACUAAAAAUACAAAAAUUAGCUGGGCAUGGUGGCGUGUGCCUGUAAUCCCAGCUACUCGGGAGGCUGAGGCAGGAGAAUUGCCUGAAUCCAGGAGGUGGAGGUUGCGGGAGCAGAGAUUGUGCCAUUGCACUCCAGCCUGGGUAACAAGAGCAAAACUCCGUCUCAAGAAAAAAAAAGAACAUCAAAUGGGCAGAAGGAAACAUGAAUUUUGCAUAUACUUGAGCAAUCAUGGUGGAAAGGGGCAAGAGGUUAAGAAAACACUCCAAUAUCCUUCCUCUCCCUAGAUUGUUUUCAGAAUCCAGCAUGAAUCAGGCUAUGUCAAAAUAUACAGCGCCAUUAGCUAUCCUAUUCCAACCCAUGUUUUAUACUUGAGGUCAAGGUUCUACUUAUCUAAAGGACUUGGUUGACUUCGUACAGUAAAGGGAUAAAGCAGCACAGCCUGUCCCGGGGCCCAUGUCCAGCCCACCUGACAGCUCCCCUUAGGAAUUCCUGUCUCUCAAUCUCUCCUUCCUUUCCUCUCUCCUCCCCCGUUUCUCUCUCCUCCCCCAUCUCUCUCUCCUCACCUCUUUCACUCUCCCUUUUUUUCUGCUUCUCCUCACCCCAACCCCAUCUUUCUGCCUUUCCAGGGGCAGGGGCAGGGGCAGGGAUUGAGGCCAACUCUAAGCCUCUUCCAAUCCCACCAUGCCGCCUCACUCCCCUGGCACAUAUGGGCACUUUGAGCACCACUGAAAUAAAACCUGUGUCCUCCUGGCUUCCCAGACGGGCAGCGCUGUCAGUCCCUGGCUUCCGAGCACCAAGCUCCUUCCCCUCUUAGCUGGACUCCAGCCUGCUGCACCACCCAGCGCCCGCACCCCUCGGAGAACCCUAGCGCCCUGUGUGCUGGCUCACUGUGUGACUUGCCAGCACUUGGCUUGGAAUCCAGCGCUCAAAGCAGGUCGCGCUCUUAUUUGAAAAAGCAAAUGCUCCAGAGCUCCAGAGGAGCAGGUGGGACUAGGGAUUUGAAUCACCUGCCUUUUGGGAAAGGUUGUCUGUGAACCAAUUACUUUCUUUCACUUUUAAUUCAGCCAUGCCUCUUCCAGCCCAAACCUCACAUGAACCUCUUCCCUUCUCCCUCUCUCCUUUCUUUUGCUUCUCUGGACCCCUGGAAAGGCAGGGGCACUCAGAAUGCAGGUCCUUUAACAGAAGGCUGCCUUGCAAAACCCUUCCAAUAUUCUUUGAUCAUCAGCUUUGUUAGGUGCUGGGAAUACUCUGAACCCCUCUGUGGUGACUGAGGAACCACAAGCUUCUGGAAGAACUGGCAAAACACAAGCUAUCUGAAAUAACAAGAAGAGAUUAUUGUUGAUUUUUAACCUGUAAAUUCUCUUAGGAUUUGGUUUCCCCGAACUGAGUUAUUUUGCUUUGUGCUGCUUGUUACUUACUGUAUUGAUUAUAUUUGAGAAAAUGAAGGGUAAUGUGAAAUGCUGAGACGUGACUUAUAACUUCGGCUCUGCUGAGCAGCAACUUGUAACUUUAGCUCUGCAGAACUGUUCCAGUAAAAACAGGAACUCUGUGAAAGGGACUAACCACACGGCUUGAUUGUCGGAGAGAGGUGACAGCACGUAAUAGGCAUCUCGUUGCAGAGAGCCUAUAAACGGACGUGUAAUGGAGAGGCUUAUUACCCAGGAAAGGCAUAUUGAUUAGGGCCCUGGAAAGGGAAUGUGACCCUUAUAGAGAGCCUAUAAACAGAUGCAUGAGGGGCGUCUGUCUCUGUGGUUGAGAUAAGAUGUCAAAGUCUUUCUUCUCCUACUGCUCCUCCAGGCCUGCGUGGAGGCCCCUCCUCUUGUGGUUUUUGUGGUCAGGCUGGUUGUCCUGUGUCAGAUCCUGCUCCCCCUGUAGCUGUGAGCCCAAUAUGUUUUGCUGAUAAUCGUAAGUUUAUGUUUAACCUAUAUUCUUGCUGCUGUGUAUGAUUUCUAUGCUGACACACAGAAAGUUAUUUUUGCAUUGUUCUGCUUUUAUAAUACCACGUUGUGAUUUUUGUGCACCAGUUUUUGCAAAUGUAUUCUUUUUGUAUAAUUAUCACUGAAACUUUCCUUAACCUCGCUCCCCCACCCCUAUUGAAGGAGCAUAAUAAAAAAAACUGAGGUUUUCAAGGGAAUGUCAGACAUCCACAGAGCAGCAUUAUGUGGUGUCUCCCCUGGGCCCAGCUUUAAUUAAAACAUUUUACUUGUCUCUCUUUCUUUUUCACCGACCACUCGAUCACUUUGAGAGAUCUUAAACCCACAUUGAUGUAUUGGGAGCUGGUUUCUCCAAUAGUUAGGGUCGCAGCAAGGCAAGCCCAUAGAGCCCCUCCUGUUCUCCCUUGCUAAGCUGAGCUUCUGACAAAAACAGCCUCCAACCUUGUAAACAGGAACCUAGGUUCCAGGAUGUGGUUGCACCAGGCUCUUGAACCCAGGAUGUUGACCCAAUUAAGCAGAACGUCAGCCACUGAGAACCAAGAUGUGGUUUUUCUUAGAAUAGCACCCAGCUACUUGCAAACUCCCUAUAUAAUCCCCAUAGUCUUUAAGCCAGGCUGCUGCCUUCACUGCCUUCAACUAACAAAAUUUUGGUGCUGAAACCCAGGAUGGGAGUAGGUGCUGGCCACUCUCUUUUCUUCCUUGGCCAGCCCCCGAGUCCGAACCUCCAUCUAGACCCAGGAAUCUCCGACUCUCUCAUUGCUGGCAAUCUCAUCCACCAUCAGAACCUCAGCUAGGGUUUCCGAGUCGACGUCCAAUUUAUUGAUUCCCAGUGCUGGGAUUCAAGCAACCCACUGUGCCGGCCACAAUAGCAGCGAUAAGACUGAUGGUGCUUUUCUGCCCGGGAAUCUCUGAUCUGGCUUCCCUCCUGAGUCCACAACAAGCAGCUCUGCCUUCCUGGAGCUCCAAACACCGGUCAGUAAGGGAACCAGUCCCGUUUACUCUGCAUGAAGAGCUGCCGCGCCAAGGCGCCGGCAAAACCGCUGCGCCGGCCACAAGAGUCGUGCUGGCGACCCAUGGGGCUCCUCCACCAGAAAUCUGCUGGUCCGUGAGUGACAAAAAUUCGUCUGAAAGUGUGGCGUCCUCUCAUUCUCUGAGCUUUGACUGGGAGCUACAAUCUUGAGCUGUUAGUGAUCAGCCAUCUUGGAUCUCUCUCCAUUUUCUCACACUCUUUCCUCCUCAUGCUUUGCUGUCCUACUCCCAUUCUAGGCAGGAACCCCCAUCACUAAAGGUCCCCUUAUUCGCCAGCUCCUCCAAGCUGCACACCUCCCAGCUAAAGCAGGGAGGACACUGCCAAGAACACCAAACAGGAUCAGAUGAAAUCUCAAACCGCCCCCCACACCCAAAAAAACAGAAAAGCUGACCAGGCAGCAAAAGAAGCCUCCCUUUCCUCUGCCCCUGCCUCUCUCCUCCUCAUCACCCCCACAAUCCAACCCCAGUAUUCCCCCACCAAAAAAUCUUCAUUGUUACAAACAAAAAGCCUCCUCCCAAGAAAACUGGAUAGUCAAAAAUCAAAAACUCAUCCUCCUGCAAGAACAAACCAAGAACAUUCUAACAUCUCUUCACCAAUCCUUCCCUAUCAGUGCACGCCUCCUGUACCUUCUCCUUCACCCUUACUUCUCUGCCCCCCACCUAUUUACCACACUAAAAGACAUAACCUCAGACUGACAUGUAUGCUCUGUCACUUCCUCCCAAGGGGCCCUCCACUCUCCUCCUAUCCUGGAAUAUCAGCUAAGAGGACCAGCCUUUCCCCAUAGCAUACCAAACAUUAAAAGUCCUCUCUUUCCCCAUUCCCACAGGAAUAAAAAACAACAAAAAAAGUCUUAACUCACCCAUUCCUUGCUCAUCUGCAAGGAGAGUUUGAGUAUCCACAGGACUCUAUCGGCCACCUCAUAAACUCUCUAAAAGAGGCCAUCUCCCCUUACAAUCCCUAUCAACUCCUUCCCCCAAAUACAGACUCCAAUUCUUCCUCAAGUUCUUAACUGUUUUUAUAGCCCCACUGUCUCUGUGCUCUCAAAGUCCCUUCUCACUUCGACAAGACUCAAACAAUCUCUCAAUCUCUCUCUCUCUGUUACUGCACUCCAACCAACUCUACACUUGCUUCCUGUUGCUGGACAUGUUUUUCCCUUUCUUCUACUGCCUACUCAGCUGUCCCAGUUUCUCAGCCCCAGGACCAUAUUCCCAUUCGCUUCUCACACACCAUCCAAAAAGGCUCGGACUUUGUAGACAGAGCCCUGACCCUCACUAAAAACUAUCCCACUGCCCUCGCUAACAAAGCUACCAAACUUCUCUCUGCGUAUACUGCCGAUUAUGAGCAUGAAAAACUCCCUCCUCCUGCCAUCCAAAGUCCCACAAUCCUACAUACCCCCAAACUUGGCCAAGCCCCUUUAUGUGUCACCUCUUCCAACCGACACAUACACAUAGGCACUAUCCCUCCCCCUGCCUGUGGCUUAACUCAAACCAUCUCCCAUUCCUCUUCCCAUACUUCACGCUAGGUAAAUUAUUCAGUUUCCCCUGAAGCUAAUGGCCUCUUUACCCAGCCCCUCCUUGUGACCUCCUGUCCUGCCUCUUAAACAUGGAAACCCCUUUCCCAGAUAUGAGCUCUUAAAGGGAUCUCUCUCUCCUCCUCCUCCUCCUCACUCUAGGGUGCAAGUCCCUCCAAACAAGGAAACUAAACACUCCAACACCUAUUCUCAAUCCACUUGUCUGUUUACAUUAACACCGCAGGCAUCUUAUCUUCUUCCUCUGCAGAUCCGCCACCUACUUCUGUCUCCCUGCCAACUAGACAGGUACUUGCACCCUGUACCUUACCUGCAACAUUAGCCUUGUCCCUCCAAACCAAGAGCUCCCUGUCCCUGCUACUCUACACACCCAUCCCCCACUCAAAGCAGAAUUCAUUCCCUUAUUAGUAACCCUUAGAGUCACAACCAAUGUCAGGUUAGAAGCAAAAAGCCUAAGAACCUCAUUAUCAUAUUUCUAGUCACUCUCCCAAAGCUUCCAAUCAUCACUAAAACAAACAAACAAACAAACUAGCAAAUUCUAUCACUCACCUUCAAAACCAACUAGACUCUUUAGCAGCAACCACCCUACAAAAACGGCAGAGGCCUAGACCUCUUCGCUGCUGAAAAAGAGUCUGUGCUUUUAAAUAAUUUAAAACAAUUAUUUUUAAAUAAACAAUGCUGUUUCUACCUCAGUGAAUCUAGGUUAGUACAAAAUGCUAUCAAAAGGCUCAAAGACAAACCCAGAAAAUAAGAGAUAACAGUUCUUCCACUUGGUCCCCCUGCCUGCUUGGUCUCUCAGCUCUUGGCCCUCUGGCUACUGCCUCCUUGGUCCUGCCAUAACUCUCCUCCUCCUCUUAGUCUUUGGCCCUUGCUUCUUAUGUCUUCUCACCCAGUUUCUACAGAAGCAAACACAGGCUUUUACCCACCACACGAUAUAAGAUGUGAUGAUGUUCCAAGACUACCAACUUACAAGCCAGCCUCACUUCACAAGCGUCCCCAUUCAUAACAUGUAACCUCCUUUUAUAUAUGUAAAAAAAGACUGGAAUGUUAGGGUCACAUCAAGGCAAGCCCAUAGACCCCCUCCCGUUCUCCAUGCUAAGCCGCUUUCACCAAAAACAGCCUCAAAACUUGUAAACAGGGAGCCUAGGUUCCAGGACAUGGUCAUACCUGGCUCUCGAACCCAGGAUGUUGACCUGAUUAAGCAGAAUGUCAGCCCCUGAGAACCAAGAUGCAGUUUUUCUUAGAAUAGCACCCAGCUACCUGCAAACCCCCUGUAUAACCCCUACAGUCUGUAAGCCAGGCUGCUGCCUUCCCUACCUGUGGUGAGGCAGCCUGGAAGGUUGAAAUAAAUUUGCUAAACCUGA